AGCCCGGCCUUUGCACCUGCGGAAAUGUGGUCGCCGCUGCUGGCCAACUGGGUGGCUUGGGGCUGACGCUUCACCGCUAGUGAGAAAUACCUCACUAGUGAGACGGUUAUAAAAAUUAAGAGAGAGAUUUCCAGAGAGAGAGAGAGAGUUUGCAGAUCUCGGAGGUAGGCAAGAAUUUCAGCUUGCAGCAUUUGAAGAAAUAAGAUGUUCAUGCAUAGAUUCAGAAUAAAGGUAGGAAGUUGAGCUUCGCCUGAGGAAAACAGCCACCAGAGGUGAGUGGUGGCUGUACAAAACGGGGCAAAACCAGAGGGAACUUCUCAACCCAGGGAUUCCAGCGCUGGGAGAGGAUGGCUGUUCCAGGGCCCUGAGGUAGAAAGUCCUCUGGUAAUGGAGUGACUUCUGGUGGUCACCAAGUCUGGGUAGGGAAGUGUCUUCCUCGUUUUUAAGCCUGAAGCUGGACGGUAGGAAAAAGGUUGGGAAGGGGACCCGGUAAUGCUCAGUAAUAACAUCCUGUCACUCCUGGCAGUUGCCCCAACCUGUGUUGGGGCAUCCCACAUAAAAAUGUAACUUGUUUUUUAAAAAGGAAAAAAUUCUAGGAAUCACUUCAAUCAAGUAUUGA